CUUGAACUGUCACAAAAAAAAAAUCAAUUACUUUUCUGAAUAAAAUGCAUGAACUACAAUAAACAAGUAGAAAUUUCAAAUUUUUAUUUUAACUGUGCCCUAUUUUUUUCAUGUUGCGCUGAUGCCUCUAGCGUAUGAGGUUUUGCUGUGUCCUAGAAAAUAUCUAGCAGAUCUCGUAACAUUUUUUUGCGGAUUCCUAUCUUUAUCCCGAUAAGUAGGGUAUUAGCUGAUAAUAACAUGUUAUGCUGAAGUUAAUCAAUUUUUCAAAUAUUUUGUUUUUAUGUUACAUAGUUCACUAUCAAGGUCUUCAUUUUGUAUUAGUGCUGUGUCAGUCGUGUGCUGUGUCAAUCUCGUUUCUACUUUUGCUUGCUAGUGGGAGCUUUCCACUAGAAUUUGUCUAUAAAUGAGUGAUGCUCGUCAUUUGAUAGAAAAUGAUUUAUAGGAACUGUAUGGAAAAAGCCAUUCAGCUUUGCCUUUCCUACCAAACUACUGUAGGCAGCCUCAUGUAUACGUGGAAAACACACCCUGUCCGCAAUGGUGUAGAAUUUCCGAGCAAAAGAAAUCCAUAAACUGUUUGUUUUGUAAAAGAGUGCUAGACUGGAUGAAGAAUGCUUACCGAUAUAACUUGAGCAGGAUCUCCUUUAACGCGGGUGACGCCCUCUCGAAGCAUGCCAUAGUGAGCUCUCUCUGUUUGAUCUUCAAUUCGCAGGUGUCGGUGGAAGGAAGGUGUAGAUAAAUAUAGAGCUCUAUGGUCCAGAAUGGGGUUUGUUCAUAUCAAGUUUGAGUGCAAAUUACGUUCAAGUGUUGCAAUCAUGCUUAGCUACCUUUGAAGCAAGAACCUGCUGCCACUAUUGUACUGAACUGUGCCACUAAGUUUUUGUUUGUAAAGGACGCCAAAAGGAUUACCUCUCAACAUUUCUUACCAGUUCCUGAAAGGAAUGAUUUGCAUUUCUCUCUAAUUUGCAAAUAUAUGCUGGUACACUUUUGUUUCCAUUCUUGUAAUAUUAUGAGUUGAAAUGUAAUCGAAACAAGUGGUUUAGUAUUCAUUAGUUUUGAAUAAAUUAUUAAAAUUGUAAUUUUUUUUGAAUAUAUCAGUUGGAUUAAUCACUUG